UACGUAGGGUGCGAGCGUUGUCCGGAAUUACUGGGCGUAAAGAGCUCGUAGGUGGUUUGUCGCGUUGUUCGUGAAAACUCACAGCUUAACUGUGGGCGUGCGGGCGAUACGGGCAGACUGGAGUACUGCAGGGGAGACUGGAAUUCCUGGUGUAGCGGUGAAAUGCGCAGAUAUCAGGAGGAACACCGAUGGCGAAGGCAGGUCUCUGGGCAUUAACUGACGCUGAGGAGCGAAAGCAUGGGAGCGAACAGGAUUAGAACC
rnacentral:rRNA from 1 species